rnacentral:rRNA from 1 species
AUUACCCCACUAUGCUCAGCCACAAACCUUAACUUACACCAAAAUCGCCAGGGAACUACGAGCCAUGCUUAAAACCCAAAGGACUUGACGGCACCUCACCCCACUAGAGGAGCCUGUCCUGUAAUCGAUACUCCCCGUUUAACCUCACCCCUCCUAGCCUUUUUCAGCCUGUAUACUUCCGUCGCCAGCCCACCACAUGAGCGCCACUCAGUGGGCUCUUCGCUCAAUUCGCACAAACGUCAGGUCAAGGUGCAGCAAAUGGAGGGGGAAGAGAUGGGCUACAUUCUCUAAUAUAGAGCAUACGAAUGACUGCAUAUGAAACCCAGUCUGAAGGCGGAUUUAGAAGUAAAGAGAAACCAAAAAGCUCUCUUUAACUUGGCACUGAGGUGUGUACACACCGCCCGUCACCCUCCUCAAAGCCUCUAAAUAGUAAUUAACAACUAACGGCACUAAAGAGGAGGCAAGACGUAACAUG